UGGACGGAGGGACACAGCGCGCUAAUGUCUCUUUGCUGGCAAACAGACAUAACUCUUCAAACUGGAUGCAAGAGUUUCAUACGAUCAUAUGCACUAAGUUAAGUAGGCAUGAAUUGCUGUUUGCGUAUCCGGUAUUUCAUUCAUGAACGGGUUAAUUAAGGUACAAGCGUGGCUUGACUUUCUCUGAGGUCUACAGAAGCAAACUGUGUUCCAGAGAGAUCCCAGCAGAGAUCCUAUUUCUACAACGCCGAGUGGAGCAGUUUUCCCGGUCUGAAGGAAGGACAACGGGACCGCCUCACUGUGGUUACAGCAGUAACGUGCAGUUUGACCGGCCGACAGAACGAGCCGCCCCACCCCACAGCUACGGAGGUUAGCUGCAGCUAACCCUUUCUUCAAACUUCAUCGCCCUGGACAACUUUCUGUCAGCACGGUUCCCGUAAGAGAUGGAUCUGCAUGGAGCCAUUCAGUGCAGGAAGUGAGAUAAGAAGUCCUCUUCCUUUUUUUGGGUGGAAGAAUAAGUACCCUCCAGUUUUCAACCACGUCUUCAUCUGUUGGAGGAAUGUUUGUGGUUUCAUCGGAUUCUACAGAAUGAACAAAUCCGCAUAUUUCCUUCAAUAAAGGAAAGAUGACGAGAAAUAAAGCGAUCAACUCGAAUGGGUAAGUUCUCGUGUUUAAAAAGGCCAUGCUUUACAUUUUUGAAUUCUGCUUCAACAGUGGCUGAGCUUGCUGUGAGGUUGGUGCUUUUGAAGAGGGGGACCAUUACUCCUGUCCAAAGUCGCAGUCCCACUGACAGAUCAUCUUUAUGCAGUGUGCUACAUCAACCCUGAUAAAACAAGGAGGAAGUUUUGCAGACUGGUUCCCAAGUAGCAAACGGAAGCAUUCGUUAAUGUAUGUCUUCAGAUCGGGCUUUUCGUAGGGUGGCCAAAUUUGGAAGGUGACUUGGCUCAGCAUCUCCAAUAUCCAUCAAAUCUGAUGCCUUCACUGACCUCCAUACAGCCGGCUCCAUCCUGCCCUCACACAGCUCUUUUGAAAUCUGUGCACGAAGGUUUCCAGACAUGAACCUCUUGGAUUGCCCAGUGUGCAGGGAGAGAUCAGUGUCUUCGAUGGAACACUGAAGCAGCAUUGGGCUGUUUACCGUUGGCUCUCUAGUACAAGUCAUUUUAAUAUGGCCUUGACACUCUUUACAUAAGCCUUUGAUAUCUAUGUAGUUGCUUGUGACAGUUGGAUAAACCUUUGCUCUCUGGAACACAAAUGUACAUGUGCUUUUGAUCUUUUUCCAAAUCAGAUGGUUAAUUACAUGACUCCAAGUGCCAGGCUUCAAAAUCAUGUAUUCCCUUUUGCCAGAUGAUGAAAACCUGUCAUUAUAUUCCACUUUCUCAGGUACAAAUUUGAUCAAUUCCUCAAAAGGAACUUCAAGCUGAAAACCUGAGCAGUCGUCUUGUCCAGGAGAAAUGGAGCCA